UACGUAGGGUGCAAGCGUUGUCCGGAAUUAUUGGGCGUAAAGAGCUCGUAGGCGGUCUGUCGCGUCGGAUGUGAAAACCCAGGGCUCAACCCUGGGCCUGCAUUCGAUACGGGCAGACUAGAGUUCGGUAGGGAAGACUGGAAUUCCUGGUGUAGCGGUGAAAUGCGCAGAUAUCAGGAGGAACACCAGCGGCGAAGGCGGUGCUCUGGGCCGGAACUGACGCUGAGGAGCGAAAGCGUGGGGAGCGAACAGG
rnacentral:rRNA from 1 species